GAUGAACGCUGGCGGCGUGCCUAAUACAUGCAAGUCGAGCGAAGAGAUGAUGAGCUUGCUCCUCUGACGGUAGCGGCGGACGGGUGAGUAACACGUGGAUAACCUACCUAUAAGACUGGGAUAACUGCGGGAAACCGGAGCUAAUACCGGAUAAUAUAUUGAACCGCAUGGUUCAAUAGUGAAAGACGGGUUUGCUGUCACUUAUAGAUGGAUCCGCGCCUCAUUAGCUAGUUGGUAAGGUAACGGCUUACCAAGGCAACGAUGCGUAGACGACCUGAGAGUGUGAUCGGCCACACUGGAACUGAGAAACGGUCCAGACUCCUACGGGAGGCCGCAGUAGGGCAUCUUCCGCAAUGGGCGAAAGCCUGACGGAGCAACGCCGCGUCAGUGAUGAAGGUCUUCGGAUCUUAAACCUCUGUUACUCGGGAAGAACAAAUGUGUAAGUCACUAUGCACGUCUUGACGGUACCUCAUCAGAAAGCCACGGCUAACUACGUG
rnacentral:rRNA from 1 species